AUUCCAGCAUCUCCAUUAGCUUUGUUCAUAGUAAUGCUUCAUAAGGCCCUCUUCUGUGUAUUCUUGCUACCUCUUCUUAAUCUCUGCUGCUUCUGUUAGGUCCAUAAUGUUUCUGUCCUUUAUUGUGCCCAUCUUUACAUGAAAAGUUCCCUUGGUAUCUCUAAUUUUCUUGAAGAGGUAUCUAGUCUUUCACAUUCUAUUUUUUUCCUCUAUUUUUUUUUUUUUUUGCAUUGUUCACUUAAGAAGACAUCCUUAUCCCUCCUUGCUAUUCUUUGGAACUCUACAUUCAUGUGGGUAUACUUUUCCUUUUUCCUUUGCCUUUCACUUUUCUUUGAAGAAGCAUGUGUAUUUAUCUUCUCCUGUGAGAACACCAAACUUGCAACUAAAUGCCGAACAACCAUCGACAGGAGAACGUUGAAAGCCACCAGAAAAAGAUAUCCAUGUUCAAGGGCAAAAAAGAAGCCACAGCAAAAAGAUGGUGAAGAACAAGGCGGUAGAGAGAAGUGGUCACACAAGAGAGGAAGGAACCACAAUGGCCAAACGCAACACGGCGUCUUACAUGGGGCCUUGGAAGAAAAGGACAUUAGUGGAAAAGGGACUGGAAUGCAAAAGAAGAAGUCAAGAAACACCUGGGGUAAGAGGCAAACUUGGCCUUGGAAUAUGGAAUGAAGCAGGGCAAAGGCUAAUAAAGUUUUGCCAAGAGACCGUACUGGUCAUAGCAAACACACUCUUCCAGAAACACAAGAGAAAACUCUACACGUGGACAUCACCAGAGGGUCAACACCGAAAUCAGAUUGAUUAUAUUCUUUGCAGCCAAAGAUGGAGAAGCUCUAUACAGUCAGCAAAAACAAGACCGGGAGCUGGCUGUGGCUCAGAUCAUGAACUCCUUAUUGCCAAAUUCAGACUUAAAUUGAAGAAAGUAGGGAAAACCACUAGACCAUUCAAGUAUGAC
ensembl:lncRNA